rnacentral:rRNA from 1 species
AAUCAACGCUGGCGGCGUGCCUAACACAUGCAAGUCGAACGCGAAAGGGGCUUCGGCCCUGAGUAGAGUGGCAAACGGGUGAGUAACACGUGGGUGACCUGCCUCAGAGUGGGGAUAACGUCCGAAGGGACGCUAUACCGCAUAACAUCCUGCCUUUGGAAAGGCGGAGAUCAAAGCCGGGGAUCGCAAGACCUGGCGCUUGGAGAGGGGCCCGCGUCUGAUUAGCAGUUGGUAGGGUAAUGGCCUACCAAGGCGACGACGGGUAGCC